rnacentral:sRNA from 1 species
UUUGCCUCUUGAGGUUGACAUCAUGCUGUCUGUCCCAGUCCUUGCCUUGUCUUUUCCUGGUUCCUCUAUGUUUCUUUCCCCCAUCUUUGCCUUCAGUGGUAGGAGUGGGUUAAUGGAGUGGCUUCCCCCACACAGAGCCUCAGCAGGGGCUCACCAUUCAUCUUCCCACUUGGAAGCCACAUCCUAAGACCAGAUGCCUUCCUGAACUCCUGACUUCAGGGACAGAAGCUGUUGAAGGAAGGUUCAGAAUGGCUGCUUCUUUGCUCUAUCUGAGUAUUGCUCUGAAAUCCCCAGUUAACCUCUCUGGUCUUUAUUACCUCAUACACCCUGCGUUUUUCCAACUUGUUUUUCAUUUCCACCCAAGACUCUGGACGACCUAGAGGAACGAGUGAAGGAGGCUGGAAUUGAGAUUACUUUCCGCCAGAGUUUCUUCUCAGAUCCAGCUGUGCCCGUCAAAAACCUGAAGCGCCAGGAUGCUCGAAUCAUCGUGGGACUUUUCUAUGAGACUGAAGCCCGGAAAGUUUUUUGUGAGGUGUACAAGGAGCGUCUCUUUGGGAAGAAGUACGUCUGGUUCCUCAUUGGGUGGUAUGCUGACAAUUGGUUCAAGAUCUACGACCCUUCUAUCAACUGCACAGUGGAUGAGAUGACUGAGGCGGUGGAGGGCCACAUCACAACUGAGAUUGUCAUGCUGAAUCCUGCCAACACCCGCAGCAUUUCCAACAUGACAUCCCAGGAAUUUGUGGAGAAAC